rnacentral:lncRNA from 1 species
UCGCUCCCGCGGCGCCGCAGCGGCUUCUUCUCCUCCUCUUUCGCCUCCUCCUCUUCCUUCGCUUUUUCUCCUCCUCCUCCUCUUCCUCCUUCUCCUCCUCCAGUUCUCCCUCCUCCUCUUUCCCCACCUCCUCCCCCUCGGCCACCGCCUCCUCUCCACCACCAUCACUCCCUCCGGGGCACCCCGGUCUCUGCAGAGCCCCCGGUCGGCGCCGUCUCCUCUGUGGCCCCCUGGAUUCCCCAGCCUGCCGAGCCCGGGCUUGGGGGUACAGACGGACGCGCGGACACUACAGAUUCCUCGCGCCCAGCGCUUCCGCGCUGCUGCCCUCCGCAGCCCCGCGUCUGGGGAGCUGGAAUCGCCACGGGAGCCCUCGAGGUUUCAGCUGCAGUCCUGCCCUUCUGGCAGCUUCUGGCCACCACGAGAGAAUCGGCAUCACCAUGUCCAGCUGAUGUCCUUCCAGAUCACGGCAAAGGAAUGUGAAGUAUCAGUCAGCCCAAGUGAUCUUUUCGGGAGCAUCUUCCUCAUGUCAUGAGACUCUUAGAAAUUGCAAAAGUGCUUAGGAGUCUACAGAAAAAUCUCAGCCAACCCUGUGGCUCUGAGAUCCCGGUCCUGUGCAUCCUUGCCCCUGCCAGGUUACCUGAAGAAUGGCAGGUCUUUAUCUGUCUCUUCUGACUGCAGUAGCUCACUGCAGACCACCCACGGACCAGGCUCCGCACUGAGACCAAUUAGGGCAGAAUAGUACAACUUCCAAGGUGUUCACUUGGUUCUGGCCCCAGAAACACAUAGAGUGGGCACACGAGCCUCUCUGUGACUGUGCAAAGCAAGUCCAGAUGGCACGAGAUGCCAAGAAAUCCUGGGGUUACCCCUUGGGGUGCCCCCUCCAGGGGCAGGCACAGCCCAGGCCUGGUACACUUCCGGAUGGCUGUCUGAAUGAGCCCAGAACCACCAGCCUGUAAAGAAAACACAGUGAAUUGCUGUUAGAUCAUGUCAACUUUAAUGUGCUCCCAUAGUAUUAAAAACACAUCUGCAAGGAAAUUUUUGACUCUUCAAAGGCUCCCUACAGGCAAAAAUUUCCCUUAAGCCUCAUUCAGGAGGAAGACAGAGAAGAAGACAUCAUGAAGUUUGAGCGAGAUAUUGGGACAAAUCUGAAGUCAACCAGAGAGAUGUGGGUGGAGAGACCAGGACCAGAGGCUCAUUACUCACACCAGGUUUCUGCCAGAGGAUACAGAUGGGGACCAUGUGCCCAAGGAGACUAUCCAGAAGUUAAGAGCAGGACGGCUCCAUACAGUUGGGCAGGUUGUGCAAGGCAGCAGGGCACCCUCCCCUCCCC